rnacentral:lncRNA from 1 species
CAGGAAUUUCUCAUCUUAGACUUCAGCAGUUGGAGGAGGAAUAAAAAGCAAGUCUGGACUUAUUGCCAUCAUGUCUUUACAUUUUGACCUAAUCCCGAUAAUUCUACACGCAAUACUUCUAAAGAGUCUCUCAGCCCCAGAGCCUGAUACACGAAUGCAUGGCGUGGCAGGAAUUAGAACUGGAAACUGAGGAAGAUGCAAAGGCAACAUUCAAGGUAAACAAGCAAUGAUGAUGUCUGACAUG